rnacentral:rRNA from 1 species
GAUGAACGCUGGCGGCGUGCCUAAUACAUGCAAGUCGAGCGAACAGAUAAGGAGCUUGCUCCUUUGACGUUAGCGGCGGACGGGUGAGUAACACGUGGAUAACCUACCUAUAAGACUGGGAUAACUUCGGGAAACCGGAGCUAAUACCGGAUAACAUAUUGAACCGCAUGGUUCAAUAGUGAAAGGCGGCUUUGCUGUCACUUAUAGAUGGAUCCGCGCCGUAUUAGCUAGUUGGUAAGGUAACGGCUUACCAAGGCAACGAUACGUACCCGACCUGAGAGGGGGACCGGCACCCCUGAAAUGGAACCACGGCCCGGAUCCCUAGGGAAGGCGGCAUAGGGAAUCUUCCCGCAUUGGGCGAAGGCUGAACGAAGCAACCCGGCUGAGGGAUGAAGGUCCUCCGAUUGUUAAAACCUGUUAACAGGGAAAAAACAAAGGGUAAGUAACUGUGCACAUCUUGACGGUACCUGAUCAGAAAGCCACGGCUAACUACGUG